GGCCAGUUUCACUCCCACCAUGACCCCACCCCACCCAAAAGCACUGAGUUUAUUUCUAGGCAGCUGAUGAGCAGGGCUGAGAACUUGCCCCAGGCUACAAGCCUCCCAGCUGAGAAAGCAAGCUGACUCACAGUUCCUCGGCUGCCCAUGGAGGCUGCAGUGGCAAUCAACUGCCUUCAACGCAUCUGUGGAUUCUCUCAGCUUUCCUGUGACUCUAGGAGAUAGAAUUCUCUACCUGCCAUUUAUAGGAGAGGUACCACCUCCAGGGUCUAUUGGAAUUGGGCUGAGAUAUACCCUAGGCAUCGCAAUUUUUACAAGCUGCUCAGAAAAUUCAAAUGCGAAGCUAAAAUGGAGAAGCACAGCUCUAAAAGACUUGAGAUAGUAUAAUGGUUGAGGACCUGCAUUUUGCUUUGGAAGCUGAUUUCCAGAGUUGACAUAGGCAUUCCACUGCUUACUCUCUGACCUCAGGCAAAUGACUUAGCAUUUCUGUGCUCCAGUGGGUUGGUCAGCCCAGGAUGGCCAAAGUAAUGUUUUCGCUACCAUAUCCUGUUGGUUGUAAUUUUUCACUCCAAUGCAUAGUGUGAUGACUACGGGAAAACCAAAACUAAAAACAAACAUCUUUCACCUCUAAGAACAUGUGACCUUGGGGAUUAUCAGGAGGCUGUGGAAGCCUAAAAUUUGGACAUAAUGCCCUGGAUCAUGAAAAUAAGAAACAAAAUCCCAAGAUGCUUCCUUUGGAUAUACCUCAUACCUAAUCCAUUUUGCCACCUUUGCAAUAGCUGAUGUUUUUCCUGGUGUACUUCUUUUUGUUAGGUUAAUUAUCCAUGGAAAACUAAAAAUUGCCUCCAAAAUUGUUUAAUUCUAAGUAGUGAUUUCAGGGCCAUAGCUAUG